rnacentral:rRNA from 1 species
GACGAACGCUGGCGGCGUGCUUAACACAUGCAAGUCGAACGGAAAGGCCCUGCUUGCAGGGUACUCGAGUGGCGAACGGGUGAGUAACACGUGGGUGUUCUGCCCUGCACUUCGGGAUAAGCCUGGGAAACUGGGUCUAAUACCGGAUAGGGGCCCUUUUUAUUGUGAUGGUUGGAAAGUUUUUUCGGUGUAGGAUGAGCUCGCGGCCUAUCAGCUUGUUGGUGGGGUAAUGGCCUACCAAGGCGGCGACGGGUAGCCGGCCUGAGAGGGUGGACGGCCACAUUGGGACUGAGAGACGGCCCAGACUCCUACGGGAGGCAGCAGUGGGGAAUAUUGCACAAUGGGCGCAAGCCUGAUGCAGCGACGCCGCGUGGGGGAUGACGGCCUUCGGGUUGGAAACUCCUUUCGCUAGGGACGAAGCUUUUUGUGACGGUACCUAGAUAAGAAGCACCGGCUAACUACGUG